AUGUCAUUUAGACUACUUGUGUGGAAUGUUAGGGGGCUGAAUAACCCGGCCAGGCACAACUCUAUCCGUCUAUUUAUGCAGUCCUGUGAUGUGUCUUUGGUUUGCUUCCAAGAAUCUAAGCUGAAUGUAGUUGAUCCUUUGGUGGUUAAUCAGACGCUUAGUCCAGAUUUUGAUGGGUUUGAGGCUUUGCCGGCGAAAGGCACCAGAGGAGGAAUUCUGUUAGCCUGGACAGGAUCACAAAUGUUCAGAAGCUGGAGUUCUCUAUUUCGGCUACUGUGA
rnacentral:rRNA from 1 species